CAGAAGGGAGGAGCAAAACUGCCAGGAUUGCUGUGUUCUCUACAAGAAUCAGUUGCUCAAGAUUUGUUGUCACCUGAUUUUAAAUCUCCUAACAACUGGGGAGCAAGGCACAGGCUAUGGCUGAAGGUUUUCCUGGGUGGGGACACAAAGAGGCUGAGCCUCUGUAGCUCUCCCUGCUCUAUCAACCUCACAGACAGGAUGUAUCUGGAUCUGGAGACAUGUGGAACCCCUCCGGCCAGGUUAUGGAGGAAGAUCCCUGCUCAGCAAGUCUGGCAACUCAACACCCAGCACUAAUUAAGAAAAAGCAACUGAAUUUCCAAACGGGAG
ensembl:lncRNA